CUUCCUCCGUCGCCUCUCUCUGUCGGCGAGCAGCUACACCUUGAGCUCGACAUCCGAUAGUCCGUCCGCUCCACAACCCCGGCCCACCUCCACCUCCCCGUCCUCCUCCUCCCCUCCGCAAGACCUCUCCCCGGUCGACUGGGACCGUAGGGUGGGGCUGUAGAGGAAGAGGUCGUGCAGCUCGGAGCUUGCACUGGCGUACGGAGAGGGGGCCGGUGGCUUCGGCGCGCAUACAUUGGCUGGGUCAAGGUAAGGGUGCUCAUGACCAGCUUCGGGAUUUUGGUGUGUCCGGAUGGAGAAUCGAGGAUGGUCACCUCAUCAAGAAAAACAAAUCGCGGGUUGAUUCAUGUACUAUAAUUCUAUUCCACACGUACUAAUUAUUCAAAAGAUUCUUUGUGUUCUAACAUUUAGAUCUAGAUCCAGUAUGAAAUCCAUUUAACAACAGAUUUAUGUGUGAGUUUGAUGCUAGGUGAGAUAUGACAGGUAAAUAUAUAGUAAUGUACAAGCGAACUGAUUAGAUGAUAGAUGCAUGGAAACAUUGAUGAUUUCCGUAGAGGCCACUAACUGAAGUUGGUCGGCUGCUCCCUUGUAUGUUGCAAUCUUCGUUGCCGCUUUGAUGAUUUGAUUCGGAUUCUGAGAUUUUCCUUGAUUACCGCUGGGUCUUUCUUAGUUCUGGUGUUUGGCCAAGUGGUUGGGGAUUGAUAUUGCAAAUCGAACAGAAGAACCAAGAAGGAUGAACUGUCAAGGGGCGUUUGAAGCUGCACGCUCCAUUGACUGAAAAUUGCUGUUUGACAUCUUCUCAAAUUCAAAGCAAUUGGCAUGUCAAAUUACUUCUUAACCAGGUUGUGUUCUACUCAUCAGCGGCAGUGUCUGUACUUUUAAAGUGUAUAGACUGCUAUUUUACACGGUACUUCUGUUCUCCAGCCUCUUGAUGUGUUAAUUCCGACAGUCCAUUUAAAAUAAUAUCUUGUCGUGAUAAGUAUUAUUAUUAUCGUGACUUUUUCACAGGUACGCAUACCCAUUAUGUAGUUACUUUCUCGCAUCUUCUACUAAGAUAAUUUGUGCUGGCUGCAAUUGUUUUUAUCUCGCAAUUUUAUUCCUGCUUUUC